UGUGCGUGUGUGUGUGUUUGUAAAAUCCUCUCCCCUUUUCUGGGCAGAUCCAAGGUGACACAUACAUUUUUAUUAUUUGAAGUAUCAUAUUCAAGGUCUUUCAGCUCACCCUGGUGGGAUCAAGAGGUUCCCGACGCAGCAAAAGGCACCGCCCCUCCCACUGCCACCACACAGGCCAGAAUUAAAAGCGCACCACUGACUGCCCAGGGAAUAGUUUGUUUCCAGCACAGCGAUGGACAAAGUUCCACAGAUAUAAAGAGAAAUAUUCCCUGGGCAUAUUUUCAGUAGCAGGCAUUUAGUGCAACGCACCGGCAACAGCAUACACCCUCAGGAUGUAUCAGUAGACUUGCACCCAACACAUAAGCAAAGGCUGGAGACUUUUCUGCAAACUGUUACAAGGCUGCUGAACAUGAAGGGUUUAUCUCACCAAGUAAAGGCCAGGAAAUAACAGAGUGGACCCCACUGAUGAGGCUCAGUGCCACCUGGAUACAAGACUAGGAGACAAUCCAGACGGGUCCACAAAGUGCAUUCUCUCCAUCACCCCCAACAGAGUUUUCUGCAGCAACUGAAAUUGAUUAUCUGUAUCAGAAACCUGGCAUUCUGCAUUUAAGAUUGCUUUAGCUUAAUCCACCAAGUCCCUUGUAACAAAUCCCUUCUUGGGUAAGACAGACAAUUAGAUUGGAUGAAAGUGACCAGAGAAGGUUCUGGAAUCUAACAGGCAAAAAUCUGCUGAGAGAGAUUCCCACAGCAGGCUGCCCUGGCUGGGACCGUGGUCCAUGUGUGCUGUACUUUAAACCAUAAGACCUCAUAAUCCCUGCAGUACUGCUUCCCCAUAAACGAAUGACCAUUCAUUUAAUGGUCAUUCGAUGGUGUUGGUCUCAUUCAUGCUGCUAUGGUAUCCACGUGUAUCUACAGUUAGAGUAGGAAGAGACGGGGAUGUUUGGUAGACAUAGUCUUUCUUGCUCUGAUUCCAGCUUGUUUUCUGUCUCCUUGGCUACCUCUUUCUGGAAGAAUCAAGUCUUCUGAUCAGCAAGCCAGGACUUCCGGAGUAAUUCUAAAAAGCCAGUGGGUCUUGUCCAACCAGACCCUGUACAGACUAGGAGGUCUGGGAUAUUCUGUGACAAUUCCAGGCUGAAGCAGAAAAGCAGAGGCUACAGCAUGUUUCCCGUCACUGUGGUUCCCUGGAGGCGAAUGCUCACGGCUCCUCCUUAGGGGCCUCCAGCUGACCACAGCGCCCAACGUAGCCUGCACUGAAUGAAAGAUUCACCCAUGGACUCCACAUGUAUUUGCCCAGUUAAACUCACAGCGGUCCCAUGAGGGAAGUGAAUGAUUAGUUUGCACAUUGAAAUGGGAAUUGGAAGACAACAACAUUUGACAUACUUGGCCUCUUUUGCAAUUUUCUCAUCAAAGGCAAGUUCUCUAUAAAUGUCUAACAGAAAUGACUUACAAUAAUUAGGCCUUCUCCCUUCUUCCGUUUAUCUAAUAAAAGUGCUCUAAAUGGUUAAUGCUAAUAUCUCAGAAUGCUUCAAUUAAAUGAAACAUUAACAUUUAAAGUUAGCUUUCAGGAGAAUUUAAACUUGAAGUUUCUACUGAUUGCCUUGCUGCUGACAUUAAUUUAAGCACAAGCAAUCAUGAAACCACCAAAUAGUUCAGAGAAACAUGGUUUUCAAGCAAAGGUGAGAUAACUUUGUCAAGAAAAGAAAACAGAGCUAUAAAACCUAAUAAACCAUUGAGAACAACCACACACAGUACUCUGACUUGAGUCAGAUUGAGACCUUUCCAUUUGCACCUAAAUUCUGCCUGGAAAAAAAGCUACAUCAAAGCUUGAUACAGAAGAAAAAAUGCAAACAGAAUGGAACACACCUUUCCUUCCUCUUUCUUUCAAAAAACCUAGGCUAAUUCCAUAAUUAUUUCAUUAAAAUAGCCUCUAACUCCUCCCAUAAUUAAACCAAUCCCAAAAAUAGGAAAAUUAAAACCAACAGAACAACCAGUUAAAAGAAGCUAACGCAAGCUAACCCUAUGUGAGCCUGAUUUAUGUGAUGAGAGAAGGGAAAAUAGGAGACCAGUGUACAGGAAGGAGAGCCACACUGCUGUGCUGGAUUGGGAAGGGAGAAUAGCUGCAAAGAGAGAAGAGAAAGGGAAGACAGCUGUGGAUGGGCAAGGUGGGGUGGAGAGUGGAGGCACAGAGGCUGGCCGUGCUGCCGCUGGAGAGUGGCUCUCAAGAGGCCAUGUUAAAAGAAGACACUGUAUGCGGAAUGCGGAAAGCAGCAGAAAUGAUUUCCCACCAAAUCCUCUCCAUCUGGAGGCUUGGCGCAGGGCGUGGCUGGCCAUGUGGUUGCAUGCUGAUGGAGGUCCUGCUGCUCAGCUGUGGCUUGUGUUUGACAUUCUAGAAUGAAGGUAGGACGUUUGGGGAAUGGGUGGCCCAAUUUUGGGAAUAAUAGAUUUUAUUAUCAGUUAGAAGCUCAAUUUAAUCAGGACAACAUAAAACAAUGAGGGAGUAAUGUAGGGUUGCAGACAAAGCUCUACCAUUGAUUAUUUUGUGACUCAAACAAGUGUCUGAUUUGAGCAACUUGCUUCAUCUA
rnacentral:lncRNA from 1 species